rnacentral:tRNA from 1 species
GGGCCUGUAGCUCAGCUGGUUAGAGCAGUGGACUCAUAAUCCAUUGGUCGUAGGUUCAAGUCCUACCAGGCCCACCA